GAUCAUGGCUCAGAAUGAACGCUGGCGGCAUGGAUUAGGCAUGCAAGUCGAACGUACUCCCUUCGGGGAGAAAGUGGCGAAAGGGUGAGUAACACGUGAGCAACCUGCCUCCGGAUCCGGAAUAAUCCAGGGAAACUUGGUCUAAAACCGGAUGAAGACAUUGGUCCGCAUGGUCUAAUGUUAAAAUAUUUAUAGUCCGGAGAGGGGCUCGCGGCCCAUUAGCUUGUUGGCGGGGUAAUGGCCCACCAAGGCUACGACGGGUAGGUGGUCUGAGAGGAUGGUCACCCACACUGGGACUGAGACACUGCCCAGACUCCUACGGGAGGCUGCAGUCGAGAAUCUUCCGCAAUGGGCGCAAGCCUGACGGAGCGAUGCCGCGUGAGGGAUGAAGGCCUUCGGGUUGUAAACCUCUGUCAUCCGGGACGAAAACAAUGACGGUACCGGAAAAGGAAGCCACGGCUAACCACGUGCCAGCCGCGGC
rnacentral:rRNA from 1 species